rnacentral:misc_RNA from 1 species
AAGUCGUAACAAGGUUUCCGUAGGUGAACCUGCGGAAGGAUCAUUACCAUAUCCAAAAAACUUUACCAACCCACCGUGUGAACUGUUGUGUUUUCCUACACUUGGGGGUGACGUUUGGUUGGCGGACUAGUUUAUCAUGACUGGUCGUGCUACUGAAGGAAGCCCCACCUGUAAGAAACUUUUCCAUUAACCCCUGGUCAAACCAAUUAUUCGUCUGAUCUUUUUUCUUUUGCGCUGUCUUCCUUUGUGGGAGCGGCGUAAAAGAAAAAAACAAAACACAAACCAAUAGACAACUUAUGACGGUGGAUCUCUUGGCUCGU